GUGGACAGGGACCCCUGGUGACUGCCCCCCCGCCGGCCUCAGUAGUCACACCUGCACCCGAAUCUCUGACCGAGAGCUGCAGGUGGCUGGCCGGGAGGGCGGUAUCCACACUCAGCGACGCUAUGGAAGCAUCUACACAUUAAGGCUGGACCCCAGCGCCCGCACCUAUUGCUACAAGCAAGAAGGCUGCCACACAGCCUCACGCUCAGGUCACUGUGCGGCCCUGCUCCAAACUCCUGGACCCCAUCCAGGUCAUCAGCUAUUGCUCUUUGGAGGUUGCAACUUAGCUGAACCAGAAGUAGCUGGGCAUUGGAGUCAUGGGAAAAUUAAGGAGGAACCACCUGUUGCUCCUCAUUUGAUGGAACAGCUUGCAAGGCUUGUGAGCAGUGGGCAGGGGUCCCAGAAGGGGCCCCAUGGACUACGGCAUCACUCAUGUUCUGUGGUCGGGCCCUUUGCUGUGCUGUUUGGUGGAGAAACUCUGACCAGAGCUAGAGACACCAUCUGCAAUGAUCUCUACAUCUAUGAUACUCGCACAUCUCCUCCUUUGUGGUUCCACUUCCCCUGUGCAGAUCGUGGGAUGAAACGCAUGGGCCAUCGCACCUGCCUUUGGAAUGAUCAGCUUUACCUGGUUGGGGGUUUUGGUGAGGAUGGCAGGACAGCCAGUCCACAGGUUUGCAUCCUGGACUUUAUCUAAAUAGUGCCAAGACACAUCACUAAGCCUCGUUUUGUUUUGCUUUGUUGCAAACCUAUAAAGCGUUAUCACCAGAGCUAUCUGCUUCACUUCAAAUGCUUAUUAAAUUUCAAUCUGAGACUC
rnacentral:lncRNA from 1 species